rnacentral:tRNA from 1 species
UGUAGAAUAAGCUAAUACACAAGCUAUUGGGUUCAUACCCCGAAAAUGAAUAACUAUUCUUCUACAU